ACGGCAGCGCGGGGCAACCUGGCGGCGAGUGGCGAACGGGUGAGUAAUAUAUCGGAACGUACCCAAGAGUGGGGGAUAACGUAGCGAAAGUUACGCUAAUACCGCAUACGAUCUAAGGAUGAAAGCAGGGGAUCUUCGGACCUUGUGCUCCUGGAGCGGCCGAUAUCUGAUUAGCUAGUUGGUGAGGUAAAGGCUCACCAAGGCUACGAUCAGUAGCUGGUCUGAGAGGACGACCAGCCACACUGGAACUGAGACACGGUCCAGACUCCUACGGGAGGCAGCAGUGGGGAAUUUUGGACAAUGGGCGAAAGCCUGAUCCAGCAAUGCCGCGUGAGUGAAGAAGGCCUUCGGGUUGUAAAGCUCUUUUGUCAGGGAAGAAACGGUUCGGGCUAAUAUCCUGAGCUAAUGACGGUACCUGAAGAAUAAGCACCGGCUAACUACGUGCCAGCAGCCGCGGUAAUACGUAGGGUGCAAGCGUUAAUCGGAAUUACUGGGCGUAAAGCGUGCGCAGGCGGCUUUGUAAGUCUGACGUGAAAUCCCCGGGCUCAACCUGGGAAUUGCGUUGGAGACUGCAAGGCUAGAAUCUGGCAGAGGGGGGUAGAAUUCCACGUGUAGCAGUGAAAUGCGUAGAGAUGUGGAGGAACACCGAUGGCGAAGGCAGCCCUCUGGGUCAAGAUUGACGCUCAUGCACGAAAGCGUGGGGAGCAAACAGGAUUAGAUACCCUGGUAGU
rnacentral:rRNA from 1 species